rnacentral:rRNA from 1 species
UACAGAGGUCUCAAGCGUUGUUCGGAUUCAUUGGGCGUAAAGGGUGCGUAGGCGGCGCGGUAAGUCGGGUGUGAAAUCUCGGGGCUUAACUCCGAAACUGCAUUCGAUACUGCCGUGCUUGAGGACUGGAGAGGAGACUGGAAUUUACGGUGUAGCGGUGAAAUGCGUUGAUAUCCAGCGGAACUCCGGUGGCGAAGGCGGCCUGCUGGACCCUCACUGACGCUGAGGCGCGAAAGCCAGGGGAGCGAACGGG